rnacentral:rRNA from 1 species
CUAGCGGCGAACGGGUGCUUAACACGUGGGCAAUCUGCCGAGAAGUGGGGGAUAGCUCGCCGAAAGGCGAAUUAAUACCGCAUGUGAUUAGAGUGGACAUCCAUUCAAAAUCAAAGUCGGGGCAACCUGACGCUUCUUGAGGAGCCCGCGGCCUAUCAGCUAGUUGGUGAGGUAACGGCCCGCCAAGGCUUUGACGGGUAGCUGGUCUGAGAGGACGACCAGCCACACUGGGACUGAGACACGGCCCAGACACCUACGGGUGGCAGCAGUCGAGAAUUUUUCUCAAUGGGGGAAACCCUGAAGGAGCGACGCCGCGUGGAGGAUGAAGGUCUUCGGGUUGUAAACUCCUGUCAUUUGGGAACAAUGCGCAAAUAUUAACUGUAUUUGCGUUGAUAGUACCAGAAGAGGAAGAGACGGCUAACUCUGUGCCAGCAGCCGCGGUAAUACAGAGGUCUCAAGCGUUGUUCGGAUUCAUUGGGCGUAAAGGGUGCGUA